UUUCUACUGUUAUACUGAAGUACAGGUGUACCAAUAAGAAUAUACAACAAAAGUGUGAAUGUCGUUAGAACUUGAAAAGAUAGCGGCGGCUGAUAUAAAAAGCGUUACACCAUGUUACAGUUUUGCUCGUC